CGACCCCAGCUCAGGCGAGAACACCCGCUAAGUUUAAGCAUAUAAUUAAGUGGAGGAAAAGAAACUUACAAGGAUUCCCCUAGUAACAGCGAGCGAACCGGGAAGAGCCCAACCUGAAAAUCGGGUGGCAGCAUCGCCUGAAUUGUAGUCUGUAGAAGCGUCCUUAGCAGCGGACCAGGCCCAAGUCCCCUGGAAGGGGGCGCC
rnacentral:ncRNA from 1 species